rnacentral:rRNA from 1 species
AACGAACGCUGGCGGCAGGCCUAACACAUGCAAGUCGAGCGCCCCGCAAGGGGAGCGGCGGACGGGUGAGUAACGCGUGGGAACGUGCCCUUUGCUACGGAAUAGCCCCGGGAAACUGGGAGUAAUACCGUAUAAGCCCUACGGGGGAAAGAUUUAUCGGCAAAGGAUCGGCCCGCGUUGGAUUAGGUAGUUGGUGGGGUAAUGGCCUACCAAGCCGACGAUCCAUAGCUGGUUUGAGAGGAUGAUCAGCCACAUUGGGACUGAGACACGGCCCAGACUCCUACGGGAGGCAGCAGUGGGGAAUCUUAGACAAUGGGCGCAAGCCUGAUCUAGCCAGGCCGCGUGAGCGAUGAAGGCCUUAGGGUUGUAAAGCUCUUUCGUGGGGGAAGAUAAUGACUGUACCCCAAGAAGAAGCCCCGGCUAACUCCGUGCCAGCCGCCGCCGUAAUAC